rnacentral:rRNA from 1 species
CCUACGGGAGGCAGCAGUAGGGAAUUUUCGGCAAUGGGGGGAACCCUGACCGAGCAACGCCGCGUGAACGAAGAAGUUAUUCGUAAUGUAAAGUUCUUUUAACAGGGAAGAAAGAGAAAUUUGACGGUACCUGAAGAAUAAGCUCCGGCUAACUACGUGCCAGCAGCCGCGGUAAUACGUAGGGAGCGAGCGUUAUCCGGAUUUAUUGGGUUUAAAGGGUGCGCAGGCGGGCUGUUAAGCCGGCGGUAAAAAUUCAGGGCUCAACCCUGUCGAGCCGUCGGAACUGGCAGUCUUGAGUGGGCGAGAAGUAUGCGGAAUGCGUGGUGUAGCGGUGAAAUGCAUAGAUAUCACGCAGAACGCCGAUUGCGAAGGCAGCAUACCGGCGCCCGACUGACGCUGAGGCACGAAAGCGUGGGGAUCGAACAGGAUUAGAUACCCCAGUAGUC